GUCAGCCUAUGUCCUGGCGGAGAACUUCCGGCCUAUUGAGCUUCGGUUACUUGGGCUGAUCCUCCCAAAGCAGCGUGAGGUCAUAGGAUGUUAAGAGUGUAACACCGGAUGAAGCCUUAUGAUCCCCUGGGUCCCCGCUCGUUUUGCAGAUAAGAAAAUUGAGGCCCAGGGACUGCAUGACUUGCCCCAGGCUCCGACGAAGCCCACGGGAGUCAGUGACUUGCCACACGAGAAUCCAGACCCGGCCCCUCUGAAUGCCAGUUUUAAUGAUCAGCGCGUGCUCCCGACUCCGAGAUCGCCAAUUCUUAGAAGGGGAAUCCUUGGGGAUUCUUCUUGCUGAGAGUGUGAACAAGCAUUUUACUUGUUAAGCUACCAAUAGGCACCAAGAGCCGUGUCCAGGAAUACAGAGGCAAAAGUGAACUUAGACAUCAGUUUACAAUCUCAUAGUGAGGAGAGAACGCAGAAAUAGACAGGACAGUUGGAAAAGCGACAUGCUAAUUUAUGGGAAGAGCGGGAGCUAGCUAGUAAUUUUCAGGCUGAGCAUUUACAUCGGAGAAACAAAUACAACUACUACGCGCUCGUUUUGUUGACUGAGUGGUGGAGAACUGCACCCAUCCUCUGUACAGCUGAUUGUUAAACUAAGUGGAGAACUGCAUGCAUUCUCUGUAGCGCUGAUUGUUAAAUACAGCAUAUCCCUGGAGGGGAAGCACUAGCAAGUGGGGAGCAUCAAGUGUAGAAGGAAACGUACAGGCUCGGUUUAAAGAAAACUAGGGACUGCAGCCUGGUACGAGCAAGGCUUGCAAGGAAUGGUAGGAGUGGGGGAGGAGAUGGCAGUAGCAGUACAAAAACAGGGAGAGGGGAAAUGGACUACUCACCGGCCAAUUGUCAGCAAGUAAGUUCUUACCAGAUAAACCAACAUUGUACUAAGUCCUAAGGGGAAAGGAUGUGAUACAAAGAAAAAAGAAUUAUAAUAUUCAAAUAAUUAUAUAUAUGCAAAUCAAAUCAAUAAGUUGUUUGUACUAGGCAUUAUCCUAUCCAAGAUAUAGAUGAAAACUAUUUUUUCCCAUUGAAAAACUUUUUAAAAUUUGGUUUUUAUUUGGGGGUUCUCUUCUCUCUCCCACCUUUAUUUCCUCCCUCCCCAUUGAUAAAGAAAAACAAAGCCUCCAUUAUAAACAUGUACCAUCCAGCAAAACAAAUUCCCACAUUGGCCAUUUCCCCCAAGAUGUCUCAAUAUGCAUUCGCUGAAUCUUCCCCCUUUAUCAGAAAGUGGGUAAUUUGUUUCAUCAUACAUCCUCGGAAGUAGAUUAUUGAAUUAGAGUGCUUGUCUUUCAAAAUUGCUUGUCUUUACAAUUUUGUUAUGGUAUAAAUUGUUCCCAUGAAAAAUAAUUUUUGAGAGGGAAAGAUGGGAAGGAGGAAAAGCAUCGUGCAUUAAGUGGGAUUUCAUGUUAGUGCCCCUUUGUGAGACCAGUCAGGUGGCUAGUUUGCCUAAAGUAGUGCCUGUGAAGGGUAGGAAUGUCACAGGGACUGGAAAGAUUAAAAAAGGACCUUCCGAAUAGGGGAAUGACUACAUGGGAAUCAACAGAGUUCAUUGCAAGACAUAUAUGCUAGUUAAAUCCUAGUUUCCAGGUGGAUGGCUAUCAUGAAACAAGGUUCGGAGCCAGCUGGAACCAUGGGCUUAAGAGUUUCACUCAUUCACCCACUAAUCGGGGAGCUCAGCCCCAGUUUGCUAAACCUGCUCAGUCAUAGUGAAGGUCCCAGCAGCCACGAAGCAGGUGGUAAGGUGCCUUUACUGGAUACGCAGGCUGGGCUUAGCAUGGUUUCCCUACAGACAGCUCAGCAACCUCUGUCUAAGGUAAGGAGGAAGCAAUCCCAUUGAAUCUGUUCUUAUACCCUGAACUGUGAGUCACUUAAAAUUCCCCUAUUCCAAGCCCAUUUCCCCACCUAUAAAAUGAGUUGGGGUUGGACGAGACCCCUUCCAGUGCCCAGAUUCUCGAUUAAGGACUCCCAAUCUUUCUUCCUCCAUUCAUUCUCUUGCAUGGCUCUCACCUCCCCAAGCCGUCUUCCAAAAGCCCUGCUGUGGCCGUGUCCCUUCCCUGCUCAGGACAUAAUCACCAGUGGAUUGGGUGGAGAUCCAGACCCUGGAAUGCCUUCCCUCACUACUCAUUCUUCCCAGACUCCCAGCUCUGCCCCUCUCCAAGGUUCACCUGAGCUGCACCUCCAAGAGGCCUCUAGUAUGCCCCAGUCCAAGGACCCCAUUUAUCUUGUAUUCAGAGCUUGGAUUUGGUCAGUCAUGUGUUGCCUUUCCCACUUCCUCCUCCCUGAGUGUAAGUUCUGAGACUAGGGACUGGCUCGUGUUAGUGACCAUCGGUAGUGUCUGCAUCCCAGCUAUGCAAGCCUAGCCAAGUCACGGCCCCUCGGGGCCCCAGGCUCCCAAGUUCCAGAAGAGGUAGAAAGAUGCCUCUGCAGAGGAAGCCUGCUCCUUCAGGAGCGCCUGCAACCGGCGAAAUCCCAGGCCCCAGUUCCUCUUCCUUCUCCCUAUUCAGAGUCCCCAUAGCGCCAGCAAUUAAUCCAUCCCCUGGCCUCAGUUUACCUGUCCAGCCCAAUCUCCCACAACAUCAGAAAAAGGCCUCUCAAGGCAAAACAUUGCACCGGCUGAUCACAGGCCUCCUGCCCACACCCACCCACCCUGGCCUGGCCAUCGGCGCCUUGGGCAGGCCAUGCCAGGCAGCGACAGGGACUAAACAGGCCGUUCCUUCCACUUACCAACUCUCAGGCUCAGGAGGCCCCCCUCCGGUCUUCCAUCCAGCUGAUAUGGCCACUGUCCCCACCGGGCCUGCCCAAAGCCCAGGAACUGCUCCUUUCCCAUCUCCCAACCCCAUCUGGUCCACUCUCCCUGGGCCCACAUAGCAGGAAGGAGGCAGGAUACACGGUUUAGACUGACCCUCAUAGCAACAGAGAAUUUUAUUUAUUUCCCCCAUAGUAUGUGUAAACUUAGGGUACAAAAAUAGUCAAUUAAACUUUUAUUUUCAAAGAUGUCCCUACCCACUGGGCUGAGGGCCCUGAGGAGGGGAGUGGAAGAGGAGGCAGCGACUUGGGGGUACCUUCUCCUCUCUCAGUGGGGAAACAGGUGGUGGCUGGUCUCUGCUCAAAUACUGUCCGUGAAAAUAAACCGCUUCCUCUGAAUCUCCAUCUCAAACAUUAAUGGUUUCAAAAAAGCCCUAAGGGUGCCAACAGAAGAAAAUGCUUGA